rnacentral:misc_RNA from 1 species
GAUGAAGAACGUAGUGAAAUGUGAUAAGUAAUGUGAAUUGCAGAAUUCAGUGAAUCAUCGAAUCUUUGAACGCACAUUGCGCCCGCCAGUAUUCUGGCGGGCAUGCCUGUCCGAGCGUCAUUUCAACCAUCAAGCCCCGGGCUUGUGUUGGGGACCUGCGUCCGACGCAGGCCCUGAAAACCAGUGGCGGGCUCGCUGUCCACACCGAGCGUAGUAACUAACCUCGCUAUGGAGUGGCGCGGGCGCCUGCCGUAAAACCCCCAAUUUCACAAGGUUGACCUCGGAUCAGGUAGGAAUACCCGCUGAACUUAAGCAUAUCAAUAAGCGGAGGA